ACAGCCAUGUUAGGGACAGGAGGAGAAUCUCGCCCUAACAUGAGCAAAGUCGAAAGCUCGGUUCCCCUUAGACCGGAUGGGGGGAGAGGCCAAACAGCGCCCAUAUGCGCCCCUACAGCCAUGUUAGGGACAGGAGGAGAACCUCUCCCUAACAUGAGCAAAGUCGAAGGUCCGGUUCUCCUUAGAUCGGAUGGGGGGAGAGGCCAAACAGCGCCCAUAUGCGCCCCCACAGCCAUGUUAGAGACAGGAGGAGAACCUCGUCCUAACAUGAGCAAAGUCGAAGGUCCGGUUCCCCUUAGAUCGGAUGGGAGGAGAGGCCAAACAGCGCCCGUGUGCGCCCCCACAGCCAUGAUG
rnacentral:lncRNA from 1 species